rnacentral:lncRNA from 1 species
CCUCAGUCAAAGAAAAGUACUUGAAAAGCGUGAACACUAUGUUUAAAAAUAGUUCUGCUGAAAUAUGCCCAGAGAUCAGAAAAAAACUUCCAUAUUUGGAAGAACCUACAGUAUGUUCUGCCAAAGUAUUUGGCUUUUCUUUAGGUCAAGGCAACCCUGGGCUUUGCUGUUGUUCCCAUAAUGUGCUGUAGACGGGGGGAAAGUGCUCUCCUGGCAUUUCCAGUUUACAGUACAGUUUGUGCUGGCUGGUGUGGGACAUGCCUUUGCAGCCAGUCCUACUUCAAAAACCUCAGUAACUGCAAGCUCAUAUUCUCCCGUGCUGUAUUUGUAUUUCCUAAGUAUUUCUGCUACCAGUAGUCAUGUCUAGGCUGAGGUCCUUUAGAAGUGACCCGAACAGAAGAGCACCGGG